GCCGCGGUGGCGGAACUGGUAGACGCGCUAGUCUUAGGAACUAGUGGGGCAACCCGUGUGAGUUCGAGUCUCUCCCGCGGCACCA
rnacentral:tRNA from 1 species